UUUCCUAAAAAGUUAAAAAAAAAAAAAAAAAGGAAAAAGAAGAAGAACAUGGCACAAACUAAACACCAUGAAAGUCAUCUGAUCCAACUUCAGCCCUAGUUCUACCGGUUUUUCAGUUUGGAAUAAUACAUUUCCCUCCCUUUCUUUUCUCUACUGCUGUCACACAUGCACAUGUGCACGUGCGUACACACACAACAAAUUACCCAAGGUUAAAGAGUCUCAAACAGCUUGUACCCCAAAGACCCUAGUCAAUUUUCUUGAUAGCAAAACUUCUGACUUAAUCAUGCCUUAAUUUCUCCAUUCAAUCUAGAUAACUCUUGGAAGAGCUGACUUAAGAAGUAUUCACAUUUUCUGCCAUGUGUAUUUGCCAUCUGGAAUAUCUUACAUCUCUAGUUCAAAGCUACUUUUUCUUCUUAUGUCAUUAAAGAUAAUCUCAAUUGCAUUGCUGGCCUCUUAAUUUUCCUUUAUGCUAACCACAAAGGGUGAUAAAAGAUGAAAAACAGGGGUGCCUGGCUGGCUCAGUUGGAACAGCAUGCAUCUCUUGAUCUUGGGGUCAUGAGUUCGAGCCCCAUGGUGGGUGUAGAGAUUACUUAAAAUAAAUAAACAAACUUAAAAAAAAAAGAUGGAAACCAGACCUUAAAAAUCUUAACUGAAAAUAUACUUUUCUCAGUAACCAUUCUCCUAAUUUUAAAACAACCUGAAUUUCAAAGCCAAAUAUUUUAAUUAUUGAUCAUGUUCCAUUUCCUGGAUCUCUUAAAAUUUUAAUGAUCUUUCUACAUCUUACUGCUUUUUAGACAAGAAUAAAUGUUAUGCCACCAAUGUUUACUGUAUGGUCGGUCAUCAAGAAACCCAGGAAGUGACAUUCCAUCCAACCACCAUGACAGAUGUGGUCCUUACCCAUUGGUUCGUCACUGGAACUCUUCAGGCAAACACUGAGUGGGUGGCCAUGUUGUGAGGACAAUCAGAUAAUCCACAGAGAGGCCUGUGUGAUGAGGAGCUGAGGCCUACCAGCAACCAGACUAGUGAGUUUGGAAGUCGAUCUUCUGAGGCCUCCCCACAGCCAUGUCCGUAAACUUGGGAGUGAAUCCCCCCCAAGUCCAGCCUUCAGAUGCGACUGCAGCCCUGGCUGACAGCUUAACUCCAACUUCAUGAGACACCUUGAGCCAGAGGCACCCAGGUGCAUGUAGCUUGAAGGAGCACUACUCCUUUAUGAAAUGUGUUUAUCGCCUCCUAGUGGACACCACGCAACAUGCCGUAUCCUCGGACCAAUGAGGCAGUACAGCUCUCAAGUUCUUUUGAAAUGCAGGUUAUUUCUUAAAUUGUGUGUAAAAUAGUGAUUGCCCACUAUAGUUCAUGUACCUAUCAUUCCCUCUCACUACCUUUCACAGGUCUGAUAUUUCCGGAUUUCUGGGAAUUUUGGACGUCAGAUAUGAACAUCUGGCCUGUAAAUUCUUUUUCUCUGAGAGGAGGAAGAGGGGAAGGGUGUGUAGCCAUAACGGCUAUGGCUCUAUGUGCCAGCAACUAUAGUGCACAUUUUACAUACGUUACCUAUGAUCUUCACAAUAUCCCUAUGAGGUAGGCACUUAGUCUCAGAACAGGAACCUGUAGCUCGGUGACUUUUCAAGGUGAUGCUAUUUUAACAAGUAUAGGUAGAAUUUGAAUCUAAGUUUGAAUAUAGAGCCCAUGUAAUAAAAUCCAAGUGGGCUGUAACUUCCUACAGCAUAAUAAUAUUGUGGUGAGAAUCAAAAGGAGUCACUAGAAACAACAUUUCUCAUCUAACUUGGAUUUUUUUUCUUUUGGGGAGGAGGGGGAGAAGAAGAGAGAGCAUCCCAAGCAGGCUCCAUGCCCAGUGCAUGAGCCCGACACAAGGAGCAAUUCCACGACCCCAAGA